rnacentral:lncRNA from 1 species
AAGUAUCCAAAGCUUAAAUUUGAAUCAUUCUUCCAAGGAUUGCGAACUGAAGUGAGACUAAUAGCCCAAACCAGUUGCUUAUAAAUAGGACGGACCGGCCAUCGACCCUCCACUGGUGCCUUAACCUCCUUUGUCCCAUGCAAUGGUACAUCAUGCCAGAUACCAUCAGCUGGAAUUACAUUCCAAGGCCUAUUCCUACGCCCUUC